GGCCCCUUGUGUGAGAAAAAUAGGGGGUCUGACCUGCCCGGUGACAUGUGUUAAACGGCUGCGGUAUUCUGACCGUGCAAAGGUAGCGUAAUCAUUUGCCCAUUAAUUGUGGGCUAGUAUGAAUGGUUUGACGAGGGUGCAACUGUCUCCUUGCAAUUAUAUGGAAUUUAUUUUUUGGGUGAAGAAACCCAAAUGCAGCUGAGGGACGAUAAGACCCCAUCGAGCUUUAGUGGAAUUUUGGAAAAGUAGACACACUGUGUAAAUUGCGAUGUCUGGGUGAAUCUUUGAUUGGGGCGAUCGAGAAGUAGGAAGAACCUUCUGUUGUGAUUUAACGGCUUGUUAGUGGGAGAUCUGGCUUAGUAGUGCAGAUAGGAAGAAUAAGUUACCGUGGGGAUAACAGCGUAAUCUUCUUGGAGAGUUCGUAUUGAGAAGGGGGUUUGCGACCUCGAUGUUGGAUUAAGGUUUCCUGAGGGCGUAGAAGCUUUUGAGGGUUAGUCUGUUCGACUAUUAAAACCUU
rnacentral:rRNA from 1 species